rnacentral:rRNA from 1 species
UUUCCAGACUCCUACGGGAGGCAGCAGUGGGGAAUCUUCCGCAAUGGGCGCAAGCCUGACGGAGCAAUGCCGCGUGAACGAAGAAGGUCUUCGGAUUGUAAAGUUCUGUCCUUAUCGAAGAGAGGGUAUAGAGUGAAAAAUGAUAUACUAGGACGGUAGAUGAGGAGGACGCCCCGGCUAACUACGUGCCAGCAGCCGCGGUAAUACGUAGGGGGCAAGCGUUGUUCGGAAUGACUGGGCGUAAAGGGUGUGUAGGCGGUGUAGCAAGUUAGAAGUGAAAUACCUAGAGCUUAACUCAGGUGCUGCUUCUAAAACUGCUAUACUUGAGUGCAGUAGAGGAAAGUGGAAUUCCUAGUGUAGCGGUGGAAUGCGUAGAUAUUAGGAGGAACAUCAGUGGCGAAGGCGACUUUCUGGACUGUAACUGACGCUGAGGCACGAAAGUGUGGGGAGCAAACAGGAUUAGAUACCCCAGUA